rnacentral:lncRNA from 1 species
AAAAGGAAGGACACAGAGAUGCUCCAGUGACUGCAGCAAAAAAAAAAAAAAAAAAAAAAAAAAAAAGCAGAGUCUGACAGCACUUAAAACUGAGUAAAGCACUCAUUAAAAGGCAGCCACUAUCAUUAUGAUGAAGAUGAAGAGGCCUAUAAGCAUAGGACUCUAGCUCAGACAGGCUCCUCCACACUCCUGGGCAUGUCUAAGGCUCUUUCUCCUUACUCUGAUCAACUCUAUCUAGCUUCUCUCACCGUAUCCAAGCAUCUGUCUGAUGGAGUUCACACUGGCCACCUACCCCUCAGCCAACAACCUUGCAGAGAAAGGCAACUGAGACUCUUAGCCUCUCUCCAAUUCAUGUGUCCUCUCCAUCCUGUUGGCCUGAUUUCAGUUCAGCCUUAAAACACUUCUGUUACACUGAGUCUCCCCGUUACAUCCAUUUUAAGUCCCCCAGUACCCUGGGCUCAGGCUCUACCCCUUCAGCUUCCUUCCACGGCCAGCUUCCCAAAACACAGUCAUGUUAUCCCUGUUCAAAGACUUCGGGUGCAGGCCAGUGGGGUGGCUCAACAGGUAAAUCUGCCACCAAAUCUAACAACUUGAGUUUGAUUCCAAGGACCAACAUGGUAGAAAGAACCAGCUCAUACAAGUAGUCACACACACACAUACACACACACACACACACACACACACACACAGAGAACAUAUAAUAAAAAAAAUGUUUUAUUAACUUCACUGUGAACAACAAUAACCUCUCCUUUGAUACAUGCCGAAGUUCUCCCUUUCUGGCUACUUGGAUCUACUUCAAGCCCUUUGCCCUGCAAAUACAAAAGAGUAUCACUGGGACCCCACUCUUCAUCCAUCACUACUUAGGUCAAUAGUCACCUCUUUCCUGAAAUUCCCCAACUUCUCCCUGUAGAGCCUGUUAUUUCCUUUCUGCCCUUGUAUAGAUACCUUGGACAAAGUUUUGUUACAGCAUCACACUUUACUGAAAAUACUGCCUACCAUCUUCUGUCCAACCUUCCCCUAGGACAGAGAGCUUUGCCCCAAAGUAUCUAAGCACUGAGCACAGUGCCUUGCCCAGAGAGGUACACAAUGGUCAAAAGUUAUUGUGCUAGCCAGGCUCCAGGCAUAAGAUCAGGGCCAGAUCAGAGGAAAUGACCCAACCUCACAGCCCAUAAAAGCAGAGCUGGAGAGCUGACUCAGUGUUCAAGACAGCACUGUGCAACCACAAAGGCCUAAGAUCAGGCUCGAGCACCCACUAGCAAGCUCAGCACUGUGAGGGGAGAAGACCGUACAGUCGGCUGCUUCAAGAGGCCCAUAGUGAGACUCUGUCUCAAACAAACAAACAAAACAAACAAACAAAGGGGUAAGUCAGAGGGUUAGAGAAAGCUUCCUUCUUUCACCUCCAGGGAUGUGCACAGGAACACACACCCAGACACACACAUGCCGAUAUCACACCACAUUCACACAGACC